AGAUGGAUUCUGAGACACGAAUCCAGGCCCUACGGGGUGCAGCAGGCGCGAAAACUUUACAAUGCUGGCAACAGCGAUAAGGGAACCUCGAGUGCCAGGUUACAAAUCUGGCUGUCGAGAUGCCUAAAAAGCAUUUCAUAGCAAGGGCCGGGCAAGACCGGUGCCAGCCGCCGCGGUAACACCGGCGGCUCGAGUGGUAACCGUUAUUAUUGGGUCUAAAGGGUCUGUAGCCGGCCGGAUAAGUCUCUUGAGAAAUCUGGCAGCUUAACUGUCAGGCUUUCAGGAGAUACUGUCUGGCUCGAGGCCGGGAGAGGUGAGAGGUACUUCAGGGGUAGGGGUGAAAUCUUGUAAUCCUUGAAGGACCACCAGUGGCGAAGGCGUCUCACCAGAACGGACCUGACGGCAAGGGACGAAAGCUAGGGGCACGAACCGGAUUAGAUACCCGGGUAGUCCUAGCCGUAAACGAUACUCGCUAGGUGUCGGCCACGGUGCGACCGUUGUCGGUGCCGUAGGGAAGCCGUGAAGCGAGC
rnacentral:rRNA from 1 species